rnacentral:misc_RNA from 1 species
GCUGAAGUUGCAGACAACCCCCCAUACCCCGUCGAGGUUCGUGCCCAAUCGAUGCUCUAUCUCUUCUCACGAGUAGAGCACAGAAGUACGCAUAAUCGAUUCUGAAUACGCAGCACGCACGCAAAUCUGGAGAGACCUCGGCAGGCACAUCGAGGCAGCACCUUUGCGCACCGUCACGUACUACUGCACAGAAACUCUGUGUUGCUCUUCGCCCUCUGGCCUUUUUUUACCCACGCCCUUAUCGCUGGCUCCGUAUUCGUUUCUCUUCCUGAGCAACGCUCCUUAUUGCCCCUCCUGCCCACACCCCCGCCGCCGUCGUAGCACACAAUGAGUAGUAUCGCGUUUUGUCUACCUGCCGCGCUGCAGCUUGUGAUGCCUUCCUACAGGGAAGUGUCGCAGAGCGUUCCAUCCGCCGACAGCUCCAGCAACUACCCAAGUGAGCGUGGAGUGUUCACCGAGGUGAAAAAGGCACCCCUUGUCUGUCUCCAUGAACCGCUGACGUUGCAGCAGUGCAUACUCGCGCACGAGGCAGACAAGGAGCCUGAGAACGAUGAGACGGAGUUUCUCGACGCUGCUUGUGUGUACGUGGCGCGACGCCACCACCUGGACCAAGUUGAAGCCGCUUACAGCAGCGGCGAACGUGCACAAGUCUCGAACUGAGGAAGGGGAGGGGGGCGAAGGGGCGUAGUGUAGCGGCGCCGUUUCCUCGUUUUCCGUUUGUGCAGCUCUUUUUUGUCUUCUACGCUAUAGAAACACCCAUAAGCUUCCUUCGUUAUUUUUUCUCCUUCGAUGCUGCCUUCCGCUUGCUUAUCGUCUCUAUGUGUCUUGUGCAUCUCAUUUCUCCUCUCGUCUCCUUCUCUCCCGAGUUGCUCUGUCGGCUGUUGGAAGGGGUGUGUGCAGGGCGGGGGCUGGAUACCCCAUUGCUGUGAAGCUUCCGGCACACCGUCUUUUCAUCAGCGGAAGGCAGAAGGCGCACUAGGCACUCCGCCCGUUCGUUUCUCGGUGGCUGACGGACGCAACGAAAGCAGUGUCGGACAGCGGUGCCAACACAGGCAAGCUCGCAUAUAAGUGAAGCGGCCGUUUCCUUGUUUUUGUCGUUUUUUCCUUGUUUCACGGCUUCAACGCCCGCACAAGAAAUGGGGCAACAUUUUCUCACUGUUGCCACGUGGCCCUUUCCUGUGCCGCCGACGGGGCAAAGAGGGAGACGGCGGAAAGCGGACAGGAGAACCGCACAUCACAGCAGCGGCCGGAAGCUGGAGCGCAUCCUUUUCUCUUUUCUGCAUCCCUUUUUUUUUCGGCCCUUUUGGCUUUUGUUUCUUCUCUUCUUCGAGCGCUCCUCUCAUUUCUCUGUGUGUGCUCGGAUGAUGUGGGGGCGGCAAGGACGGUGGACAGCGCGAUGCGCACACGCAGGCACUUCCGCUUACUCGUCCCACGUGCAAUUUCGGAAAGGCAGAGGUCGCUCCCCUUCAAGGGGUAUUGGCUCGUGUGUCCUGGUGGCAAGGAGAUGUGGUCAUGUGCGUCUCAAGGCUUGUCGCCUCCCCGAUGGCGUCGUUGCUGUGCUCAUUUCUGUUUCGUAUUUUUUUAUAUUUGAUUAUUACAUUGCUGCCUUUUUCGCCUUGUGCGUUGGGUAUGCCGUACUCGCGCCUCCCUCCCUCCAUUCCUUCCUCUCUUGCCAUACCAUAGAACAUGUGCUCGCCAUACGUCGCAUGCGCGCAAGCACGUUUGGUGGCGCGUCAAAGAAAAUGGAAAAGUAUCCUCUUGUAUUGCUGUCGUCAAAGGCGUUCCAGACAGAGCACAUAUAAAUCAGUGCUUGCGUGAGCAAUAAAGGCAUUUCCAUGCACACGCAGCUCGCCGGCAAUGAAGUGCAGUGGGCUGACGCCUUCUUUUGUUUUUCAGACGAGGUGCGAUAUG